rnacentral:rRNA from 1 species
UUUAAUUGAAGAGUUUGAUCAUGGCUCAGAUUGAACGCUGGCGGCAGGCCUAACACAUGCAAGUCGAGCGGAAACGAGAAUAGCUUGCUAUUCGGCGUCGAGCGGCGGACGGGUGAGUA